UGUUAUCUCAUAGAAUAAUAAGCCUUAUC
rnacentral:piRNA from 1 species